rnacentral:sRNA from 1 species
CGUAACAAGGUUUCCGUAGGUGAACCUGCGGAAGGAUCAUUAAUAAAUGCGUGGGAAGGUAUGCGGGGAAGGGCGUCCUUGGUAGAGGUAUGCUGCCUCCCGAAAUGAGGGACACGCCAACCGCAUUCCGGAACACACAGUUACACCCUUGAUUAUUUACAAUUGUUGCUUUGGUGGACCGCCUCCGGGCGUGGGCCGUGGCCUGCCGUGUCCGCCAGAGGACCCAAACUCUGUUUUUAGUGACGUCUGAGUACUAUAUAAUAGUUAAAACUUUCAACAACGGAUCUCUUGGUUCUGGCAUCGAUGAAGAACGCAGCGAAAUGCGAUAAGUAAUGUGAAUUGCAGAAUUCAGUGAAUCAUCGAAUCUUUGAACGCACAUUGCGCCCGCUGGUAUUCCGGCGGGCAUGCCUGUUCGAGCGUCAUUAGACCAAUCACUUUACGUGGUAUUGGGGCUCGCCGUACCGGCGGCCCUUAAAAACAGUGGCGGUGCCGCCUGGCUCUCAGCGUAGUAAUUUCUCUCGCUUGGAAGUCUGGCGGGCGGCUUGCCAACMACCCCCAACUUUUU